UUGUGUGUAUGCACGCACGCACGCAGCCUUCGCACACAAACAUCCCAGUUGGAGAGCGACAGCGACAGCGGGGGGGUGGGGGGAAGACUUUUACACAAAACAGAGGUGGGAGGGAAUUUCCUGUGUAGAAGCUCGUAACGCGCAGCCGUAAUUCUUAACUCUUUACUCGUUUUUUUUUGCCGUGUGUGUGUGUGUGUGUGUGUGUAUGUGUGCAUGUUGUCCUUGUGACCCUUCUCACACAUACACACACACACAAACCUUUCCUCCCAUCUCCACCCACAGGCCUCCUCCUCCUCUCUCACUGCCCCCCUCCCCCGCACACAUCCACAAAGGCCACACAACACGGCCAACGCCGCACCGCUUUAGGCCGGCGAUCAUCGGCGAGCGCGGGUGGACGUCUGUUGUUGUUCUUCGGUGUCGCGGCUGCCUUUUUGCGUCUCUCGCCACCCCUUCUCUCUCGACGCCGAUCUCGAGCGUUGUCUUUGAUUCGUUUGUUUUUUUCUUUCGUGGUUAUUAGAGUGGGCGCUCCGCCACCUCGCACACGCACACACACCUACCAGCCACCUCUUUCUCAGGCGCAGGGCCGUACGACGCUUGUGUUGGAGCGGCUCUCUCUUUCCGCCCCCACCCCCUCCUGCUCCUCCUUCUCCUCUGGUGCGCACAUCGCCGACGCAGCGUAGAGCACCUGCUGUCGGUCCAGAGGGCGAACAACAUCAACCAGCCGCCACAAAGCAAACACACGCAAAACAAGAGACGGACAAGGGUGAUGAACCGAGCAUUCUUGUCGGACCUGGCGUGGCACAUCAGCCUGCACCCCAGCUGCCGUGCCGAGCUGCGCCGCCAUUGGCCGGCCCCGCACUACCACAAGACACCCCAUGAUAUCGAUGAGGCUGAAGAGCAACCCCGGUGCCAAGCGACUGGGGCCUCCCCGCCGGCGGCGGCGGUCGCCGGCCAAGAUGAAAGUAAGAAGAGCGGCGGCGGUGGUAGUGGGGCGUUCAAUCCGUAUGAGACCUUCAGCCUGCGCCUGAAGCGCAAGCGCAGGGAACCCGUGAAGGCCGGCUGUCGAAGCCGUUGUGGCGAGGCGGCUCUGCCGGAGCAGCAGCAUCAGCAGACGAGAACGGGCGCAUCGCAAGCGAAAGCGAAGCGGCGAAUCAGCAGUAACAGCGCCAGCUUGAAUUCGACAAGCUCGGCAGCUCGCGUUGUUGGCGCUAGACUAACCACCUCCAGUGCUUCGUCGCUUACGCGAGCCAGCAAGCUCAGCAGCUCGUUGGUCGUCACAGCAAAGCCGGCAGCAGCAGUAGAAGCGAAGGCGAAGCGGGCAACGUUGUUGACGCACGCAGCAGGCGCAACCACAGCAGCGGUCAACAACAGCAAGAGUACCAGCGCCCCCGCAGCGAGCUCCUCCGCGCUGGUCAGCGGCCGGGUCAAGGCCGUAGCCGCCGAUCACCCCUCUCCCAGUCCCUUGGCGAGCGCGGCGGCAAAGAGCGCAUCGCUUCCACACGCCCGCGCAGCAGCAGCAGCCACUGUCAAGAAGGCGGCAGUGGGCACACCAAAGAAAGAGCCUGACGAAGCGCCCACGAGUGUCGUCGACGACUCUGCCUCCGCCGCACCCGCCACAUCGAAGAGGAACAAGAAUAAAGCCAAGUCGGUGCAUGUCGACGCGAACGACACGAAACUAAAGACGGUGCGCAGCAGCGCCGCGGCAACGGCCACAGGCGGUCCUAGCAGCGGGCCAGCCGCGACGAAGAAAAAGAAAACCACUGGAAACUCUAUCAGCACCAUCGGCAGCAACGCCGCCGACAGUGACAACGGCAGCGAGAAAGCAGGCUACAUCCGCGAUCCGCUGAAUAUUCGCCUUCCGCACAGUCCGCCGUACCGAGGAAGGCAGGCGGCCGGUCGAAACGGGCAUCGACCUGUGCACGUGACGAUUCGUUGGAGCGGUGCACGGCAGCGACGGCGUCGCUUCUUUGCGCAGUACCCAGCCCUCGCGCAGCCAGAGAACGCGAUGUACCUGCAACAGUUAAUGCGCCACGCAAGGCCGUCGCCGAGCUUGGAUGUCCGAGAAGUCGCGGUGGAAGCGGCCGUGUAUGAAGAAAAGCGCUACAGCACAGCCCAGGAAAAGGUGCCGCAUCAGGGCUUCGCGCCGCCACUGGUGCCAAGAUCGGUGAACUUCUCGGACGCUGCCACGACAGUGGGUCGUUCCGCCCCACGCCAGCCCAGUACUGUGGCUAGCGCCUUCUUGUCCGACAGCACUCCACGCGCUGACGCACCGCUGCAGAAGCAGCAGAAACUGUGCCCCAGUGAUAGAGAAGCCGGUCACACCACCAACGCCACGGCAGCUACAGGAAGACGCGCUUCCCUCUCCUCUACCGGCGGCCUUGCCGAUGCGCGCUCACACGCACGCAUGCACGGCCAGGGCGAGGACGAGGAGGUUGCCUCGCACGUUGUUGCCAGCAACGCCUCCAUCAACGACAGCAGCAGCGGCGCACUUCCAGUCCGCCCCUUCGCCCGGUACCCACCGCUGAAGGGCACCACGAUUCUUUCGCAGAGCACCAACACGGCGGCGCGGACGUUGGCGCUCAGUAUCUCUGGCUCGGAGAUGCCAACGCCAUCCAGCGCAGAUAAUUUCUCUGCCACCCUUCACAGCGUUGUCCGCCGGCCAAACUCGCUUUUCAUCGUUCGCACUCCUCUGCAGGACUACGCCGACGAGGCCGCGGCUUACGACUCCUGCUAUUACUCGCGCCAAGUUGGCGUGGCAGGGAACUCGAGCAGACCUCUCGGCGCGAUGGGCCCAGUCGGCUCCCACAGCCUUCGCGGCUCAUCGGCUGGCGUUGCCUCCGCCAGCGGACCGAAUCGCCUCCGCGUCACAUACGUGACUGCCAACACGUGCAGCACUGCGCGCACGUGGUCUACACAUCACCACAGUCUCAACCACAGCACAGAUCGAGGGUCGAGUCCGUAUCAGCCGUCCAGCCUGGCCCCGGCAAACCCGUCUGCCUCGCAGUCCAUGACGUCCGCUCUCUCCUGCGCCACGUUGUCCCCGCAUGUGCCGCAGCAGCAGCAGCAGCAGAAAGGCAGCGGUCCCCGCGAUGUGGCCGACAUUCAGCGCCCUUACCCCCUGAGCACAAGCGGUCCAAGCUUCUCUGAUCCCAGGCCGAGCGGGAAGGCGUGGAUCAACUUAGACAGCCCCACGCUAGUAAACAGUGCCUUCUCCGCCCUGCAGUCCCCGAUGCCGUCUGUGCCGUCGACACCCCUCUACGCCUCCGCGGCGGCUGGGCCAAAGAUAGUGAUGCGGAGCGCGACGAUCAAAGGGGCUGCUGCCGCCAAUGCCGGAGGAGGUAAGGACACGCCCCCGCUGCUCAACGUGAAGACGGUGAUGGUGCAGCGGCAUCGCUCAUUUCUUCUGCGCCGGCAGCAGCAACAAGAACGCUCGAGCCCUGCGCCCGUCGGCGACUCCGCCCCUGUCGCUGCGGAGUGUGACUCAGGCCCUUUGCGUCAUUUUCCGCGCGAGAAUUCAUCGACUUCUGUGGCGGCGGGCACGGCGGCCUCCAACCCGCCGUGCAGCGACUCCCAACCUCGGCACCGGAAGCUGCAGCAGUCGAGCAUCAUCUCUGCGCCGUCGCCCCCUCGAGCCCCGGUGCCUCUGGGCGUCGCGCCUGGUGGCGUGCAACCCCUGGCAGGGAAACGGGCGACCUCCGCCCAACACCGCGCACGCACAGGCGAAGGUGCGGUCGACGAGCCCGGCAGCUCCGGCGGUGUAGGCAGCAGGGACACGGACGGCACACCGUGCCAUCGCACCUCCGUGCACGCACAGCGGCAGUCGUCGCACUUUUCGUUCACCAAUUUGGCAGAAAUCGGCCGCACUGGCGAAUUGUUGAAGUUGCCGCAGCAGCACUCCCACACAGAUGUGGCAGCCACCAACCAGCUCAGUUCCGAGUCCUCUCUGCAUCUUUUCGCGACUGGCGAGGGUGGAGCCGACUGCAGCAACGCCUCCUCCGUGCAGCUGACACAGCAAUACUUGGCCUCGUCUCUGCAACCCAUGCCGUGCCCGAUGGCGCCGCACACGCGGCGUGACAGCGAGAGGGAUCUGCAGGCGCCGUCACUCUGGCAUCCGGUGUACACGGAGACACGCCUCUACGCCGCCAGCGAGAGCACGGCGUGGCUCGAGAACAACAGCUUCGCCACAGUCACAGCCACGCCAGCUAUGUCGACAGUUUUGGGGCACAGCACCCCCACGGGGCCGCACGCGGGCUACCUCGGCAACAGCAACAACUUCACAUUCUCGGAGCCAGCAACACCGCUCUGCUGGACGCAGCAGCGCAACUCUUCCGGUUUGGUGCCCUCGCACCAGCGGUUGUCGAGCUGCUCUCUCGCGUCGACGCCCCUCCUCAGCCACCCGCACCUACACACGCCCUCGUUCGGCAACAUGGGCGGCGCCCUUCCACAGGGUGCACGGCGCACCCCGUCGGGCCUGCCUCGCUCACCGUCCUUGGCCACCUCCACGGCGACCCCAACCGCCGCGGCACCACAGGUGUUCUGCAAGUACCAGCGGCCGGAGCGCCAGCGCCGCCGCCGCCGGUUCCCGCCGCCGCUGCCGGGGACGCGGUGCCCUGGAAUGGCUGGCCGACUCGCCUUCGACGCCCACCGCGCCGCAGUCCGCAGCGGCGCCAUCGCCGAAGCAGAAGAAUGCAGCUAUUACCUGAGCCAUGAGCGGUGCAGCUCGGCAAGUGCCAUGCCAGGCACGUCCUUGACCACCUCGCUCCACCGCUCGACUGCGCGCCAGUCGUCGCCGUCACCGUCGCCACCGCCGUCUGGCAGCCCGCUCUGCGUGGUGUCGCUGGCCGACUGUCGCGCCAAAUUCUCGCACGACGCCGCAUCCGCGAGCGCAGCGGGUGAUGAGCGCAACGCGAAGGCGCGCUGGGACGAGGAACAGGAAGAGAGCGACGAAAUGGGGGACGAGCAUGAGGAAACCACCUUCGGCACGCCGCGCUUCCUAUUUCACAUCCCUCUCUGCUGCGAUGACCCGUACCACCGCGACGAGGAGGCGCUCGAGAUGCUCAGCAUCACCACAACCUCAUCCUGCGCCUUCGGGGCCGGUCUCGACGGGCUCCGCUGGCAGGACUGGAUGCCGUCCUCUCCCUUAGAGGCGGGUGAGGUGAUGCUGCGCACAGUGGAGCAGGCCGCCGCCACAGCGACUGAAGCAGCAGCGUCCACGCACGCGCGAGACUCGAACCGACUCUCCACAAUCGCCGACAGCAAUAAUCGGAGGAUUCAAGAUGCGCUUGGCAGUGGCCAGGCCGAAACAGUGGCGGGCGCAAGGGCGGCCCACGCUGUGGACUCCUUUGUGACUGGCUCAGCAACCGCUGCAGGCCUCGGUGCACCGAACAGCAGCGUAGCCACGAGCAGCCGCCAAACGCUCGGUGUGUUUGCAGACGGCGGAAAGGUGGUGUCGACCGACAUUGCGGCGCCGCGCAACUCAGAGGAUCUUGUCUGCGUGACCUGCCGCGCCAUGGACAGUGCGUCGGUUGGGGGCGUCGGCGAGGGCGCCACAGAUCUGCACGACUCGCUCACGGGUACGUCGUUCGAUUUCAGCAACAGCCUGAACGCGCCGGGGAGCGGCAAGCGGCCGUUCAUUGCGGAGUGGAUCGUGUCGAAGCUGCAGAAGCGUAUGGAAAAGAAGAAGCAGAAGAUGCAGCGCAAGCAGCUGGAGCGCGAGGCCGCCGCCGCAGAGACGGUUGGAAUGGGCAAUCCACUGCAGUUUCGCUUCGAGGGCGGGUCGGAGUCGCUUCCAUCGCCCGCCGGGGCGCCGCGGGCGCAUAGUCGCACGUCGAGCAUGUCCGACUACAGCGACGCCGGCCCGCCGUGUGGUGGCUACUUCAGUCAGGCGUUCAAGGGCUACGGUAGUCGUUGCCUGCUGUGCUCCAGCCCGAUGAUGCCCACCGGUGCUCAGGCCGCGCAGCAGCACCGACAGGGCCUCGCUUAUCUGGCAGCGGCGUACCAGACGGAGCUCGUCAUCCAUGAGCAGAAGCGGCGCGAGGCGGAGGAGAACCGCCGUGGCCUGGAGGCGCUUGUGCGCCGCUGCCGCGCAAAGAUGACCCCGGCGGCGGCGGCGGCGGGCUACUACUACGAGGCUCACGUUGUGACGUCUCCGAACAUUUUGCGGCCGCACGCGCAGCCGCACAAGGAGCCCUUCGCCACGUUGUCGCUGAAGCCCACCACCACCAACGCGGCGGCGGCGGCGGCGGCGGCGGCAAAGGCCGCAUAUACCGUUAGCGAGGGCUCCAGCAACGGCGUCAACCCAAGUGGCAGCAGCAGCUACUCGAUCGGGUCUGAAGAGCACGCCGGAGACGCGGCGGUGCAGGCGCACUUGGCUAUGAGCUUCUGGUCGCCACGGAUACCGGAGCAAGGCGGCGCGACUCCACCGCCGCCUCCUCUGACGCGCACCAGCAAGGCGGGCAAAGGCCGCUCGAACACAAUGAGUCAGCAGCCGAACGACACCACCGUUGGCGCUCGUGCGAAGACGACAGCGGCAACAAGCAGCAGCGAGGCCACGAAGCUGAAGACGAGCGGCGCCGCCGCACCCGAGCGACAGCCGCCAAGUAAGCGCGAGCACCGGGACAGCAAAGCACUCGCGAUGGCGUCCAUGGUGGAGGCGGAGCGGAUGCGUGUGGCGCUGGACACUGUCAAGACAAAGAAGCAAGCCAUCGAAAGCUGGAUAUUCGGUCUGCGCUUGUAAGACGUCAUGUGGGCGGGCCAGUCUCUCUCUCUCUCUCUCUCGGUAUCCCACUACCCCCACACCCGCAUCCGCCCCUUUUUUUUUUUUCCUUCCUCCCUCCCGUUCCUCUCUGCAGUGAGAGAGAGGGCCGGCGGGGCGCACAUGCACAGAAAAGUCCACCCUCCGCCUCCCUUUCUGGUUUUAUUCCUCCUAUUUUGUUGGCGCCGCUUAGGCGCUUUCUCAAUCUCUGUGCGCGCGUGUAUGUGCGUUGUUUGUAUUAACCUGUGUUAUCCAUGAGUGCCCCCGCUCUUAGUAGCGUAACUCCCCCCAUUGCCCUUUUCGUCGUUCCUUUCCUGUAUUGUGUCUGACUUGAUGCGCUUUUCUCUCAUUUUUGGCCCCGCACCUCAUCUUAACCCGCCCCGCUUCUUGUGCCGCCACAUGCGUUGUGUUUGGUCCUCACGUACAUACAGACACACACACACGCACACGCCGUUGUGGCCCCCACCCCACGUGCCCUCCCUCUCACCUUCCUCGUCCUCUCCCUACACCCCCAUCCUCUUCAACGAUGGUGCUCCGUUUUUUUUGUUGUUGUUGUUCAUUCUGGUCUCCGUCGCCGUGCCUUUGUGUGGUCGUUUGCCGGUGUCUACUCGUGCAGCUCCCCAACGCUCCUGUCGAUAUGCUCGGGUGGUAUCAAGGUCUCUGUAAUUGCUCACCUUCUCCAAUAGAUCUCUGUCGCUCUGUGCGUGUGUGUGCGUGUGUGUGCGUGUGCGUGUAUGUUUGGGUGUCUCCCCACUCUCCUCAUACACCGCCACUCCCCUUGUCGCCUUUCCGUCUAGCACGAGUCGGUUGAGCCGACGACAGUGUCACCAUUUCUUUUCUUGUUGUUUGCUGUCUUUCAUGUGGCUAACGUGUGCCGCGGUGCGGCGUUUGGAGGGAGGGCGAGCGCUCGAAAAGGCGGCAGCGGCACCUUCUUCAGCAUUGAGCGUGCGGGCCUCUUCCUGGCCCUCUUGUUUUUUGUUCGUUUUUCUGUCGUGCUGGUUUUCUCUUAUCAGCGGUCGCUCCUCUCGUCUUCGUUCCUUUUUUUUCGUUUCUUUUCGUGCUGUUUCCGUCGUUCCCUCUCGCUUUCCGCUCUCUUCGUGUUACACACAGACCCUUCUCUCUUCCUCCCUCACAUCGAAACGUGCCCUCCUCCCUCCCUCUCUCUCCAUCUCUCCUUCCCUCCCGCUCCAUCCACCUGCCCCCCCCAUCCAUCUCUUAUCCCGCUUCAGAUCUUCAUCUCUUCUUGGGUGCCUCGUAUGUGAGUGGGCGUAGCUACGUGUUCGUGAACAUGUCCCCCACACCGGUUGCAUGCAACGCACGCACAGAGAACAUCCGUCUCGUAGGAAGGUGAAGGCGUGCGCCCAGCGGCGUGGAAGGCCGCCGACCAACUCUCUCGCUCUCGCCUUUGGCCUUUGGUUUCCGUCUUCGCCUACGCCAGCAUGUGGGUGUGUGCCAGCCUCUGUGGAGUAUACACACACACACACACAUAGAUGUGUGUGUGUAUAUAUAUAUAUAUGCUGGGUUUUUUUGUGUAUCACUAUUCUCGUCGUACGCAUUUCUCAGGCCGAAACGGUGCGACGAGGUCGGGGGUGUCGAGCGAUGUCGUCAUUGUACCUGUCAGCGUGGCUUCAUGGGCCCCUCCCCCUUCUCUCCCGCUAUCCCCGCUCUUCGUGUUUCCAGAGUAAGUCUGCCGUCCACCACGCGAGGGCCCCCUUCAUGUCUCCAUCCCGCCGAGACAGGAAGCUGAAAGGACGUGCAGCUCCGCACUCUCGCCAGUACACACAAGCACAGGCAUAUACGUGUAUGGCCCUCUCGGUGCAAGCGGCUCGAUCACACACGCACACCACCGACGCCCCCCCCUCCCACAAGCCGGAUCGAUGGACACGAAUACGCGGACUCGCCCAUGGCCUCCAUGUGACUCCCCGUCGCUCCUCUGGCGCACGCUGGCGAAGGAAAGGAGCCAAUGAACCACUUGCAGGUGGUGGUGCAUCUGUGUGUAGGCUGUGUGGUAUGGGGGAGUUUCUAGGGGCAUGUUGUGCGCGUGCGUAUGUGGUGAGAGGAGGCGGCCUUGGCGGUUGCCGUGAGUAAAAGGGGUAGAGAGGAAUGGCCAACGAGUGCCGCCCCAAGGCGUCGGUCGAGGAGGACAACUUCGCACGACAGGCCAAAGGAGAUGGGGGGAAGCCACGGAAGCGGAGGAGGAGGAGGAGUCAUGAAAAAAAAAAAUUAUUAUAUAUAAGCCAAACGAAAAGACGGGAGAACUCCGCAGAGGUAUUUGGCGAAUGCGGCCCUUGUGAUGGAGGAGGGUAGAGCGAGGGGAGGGGGGCGGUGCACAUACACGCCCAUCGCGGUGAAGGGGAGAGAAGAGCGCGUGCUCUGCGUUCAGUACGCUUCUUCACCACCGGCACCCUCCGCGUGCCACUGCCCCCAUGCCCCCUGCAAAAAAAAAGAAGAAUUCACCGAUCGCAUGCACACCCCUUUCUCCCUCCUUUUCUGGCGCUGUUGCGGUGCUGUCCCGCGCAGCGCCAACAACACACAGACGCAGGACAUGGCAAAUGCCGGAUUGCCCUCACUCACCCACCCUCGCCCUCCCUCCUUGUGCUGCAUCUUCUCUCGUUUCAUCCUCGGCGUUUUUUUUUCUCUCCCUCAACCACUUCAUGCCCUAACGCACGCAUGCAUGCACGCGUCACGUGCUGGAUAAAAG
rnacentral:misc_RNA from 1 species